rnacentral:rRNA from 1 species
CCUACGGGAGGCAGCAGGAGGGAAUCGUCCACAAUGGGCGAAAGCCUGAUGGAGCAACGCCGCGUGGGUGAAGAAGGUCUUCGGAUCGUAAAACCCUGUUGUUAGAGAAGAAAGUGCGUGAGAGUAACUGUUCACGUGUCGACGGUAUCUAACCAGAAAGCCACGGCUAACUACGUGCCAGCAGCCGCGGUAAUACGUAGGUGGCAAGCGUUAUCCGGAUUUAUUGGGCGUAAAGGGAACGCAGGCGGUCUUUUAAGUCUGAUGUGAAAGCCUUCGGCUUAACCGGAGUAGUGCAUUGGAAACUGGGAGACUUGAGUGCAGAAGAGGAGAGUGGAACUCCAUGUGUAGCGGUGAAAUGCGUAGAUAUCUGGAAGAACACCAGUGGCGAACGCGGCUCUCUGGUCUGUAACUGACGCUGAGGUUCGAAAGCGUGGGUAGCAAACAGGAUUAGAUACCCGAGUAGUC